UUUGGUUUGGAAUAAUAACUGCAGAAAAUAUGUGCUUGGGAAACAGUGGUUUUCUGGCCGUUGCCAGUUUCUUCCAUUACUGUUGGAACAGUGACUUGAGCCCUCACAUAUACAGCUCUUUCAUUCCACUGACAUCAGUGUAAAUGGCAUUUAACUUGGGGUUCCUUGUGCAGAAAUUGGACUACAAAUAAUUAAUUGUUCUGUUAGGGGGAGUUGAGGCUUACUGAAUUCAAAUGAACUUCCAGGCAGUAUCUGAAAGCCUGUAAGGAGCUUGACUGCACCAUGGGAUGUUUGUCCAACACCUACUAAUUGGGAGACCCAUCCUGGGGCCUAGCUUGAAUGUGUUGGGAAGCACCAGCAGUGUCACUCUAGCCAGUGUACUGGAGCACCCUCAUAAGUCUCCUUCUACUCAAUGAGGGUUUAUUUAGCACUUACUCUUUUGCUAAAGACCCCGAUAGCCCAAAGAGCUGGGCAAGUGACAAAAUGCAGAGCACUAUCAGCAAGAGUUCAUAUUCACUGCAGCUACACCCUGAAAGGGGAACCCUUAUCCUCCUGGAUGCAAUUCCCUGCACUGUCCAGCGUUGUCUAAACACAGUCCAGGUUCACCAUUUUGGGGAGACCCACAACUGACAAAGCACUGACACUGGGGGUUUUUCAUGUUGAAUCCCAGCAUUAUUGACCUGCCAGGCUGGGCAGAUUCCCAUGACACCAAACCCAGGCAAGCAUUUCUGUGCAUGAGCCUGAUAAUAUAUAAUUAGGCAAAUAUUGCAGGAGUUAUGUAAAAAUAAACGAGGGUUGGAGAUGUAGCUCAGUGGUAGAGCACUUGCCUAGCAGAUGUGAGGCCUUGGGUUCAAUCCUCAGCACUAAAAAAUAAAUAAAAUAAAAAGGGAGAGAAAAGGAAGUAACAGAUAAUCAUAUAAAUUUGGGAAAUUGAGCUCAAUAAAGAUAAGCAAGUUGUUUUCUUUUUUUAAACAGGAUUUAUCGGGACAUGUAAUAUGCCACCAGGCAUUGUGAAUGUCCAAAAAUCUAUACAGUAUUUUUUCACACAUUAUUUGACUAUAAGACUCAUUUUCUCAUGAUCCUGUUGGGUGAAGAGUAUUCUAUUAGCAACUUUGUGACAUACUGCUACUCAAAGCUUGACCAUCAGAACAGGGUCAUUCAAAGGAUGACUGGUUACUCAUGGGCAAUGAGCUAAGAACAGAAAUAACACAAAGCUUUUAGAAACUUUUAUAGCUUUCAUAACUUGACAGAAUAACUUCUAUAUCUUUUGGAUCUAAUCACAAAGUAGUAGGGCUUACAUUUCUUUGUUUUAUUAACUUCAUUUUCUUAGAAAUUAAUUUUUAAGGUACUUUAUUUUUUUAAAAUCCAUCUGCAGCACACUGAAAGUUUUAAAAACUGGUCUUUCCCCUCAUAAUUUGAGAAUGUCUUCAUUAACAUGAAACCCCCAACCAGACCUUGCUGGCAUCAAGAAUGGAGCGCAAAGGUUAUCCCAAAGUCCAGACUACCUGCCCUUGCAUGGAAGCCAUCCUGGCCUUUGAUUGCUUCUUCAUCCAUUAUAACCUUGUCAUUUUUACACAGAUUCUCAGACUCAAGUUCCUUGCAGUGGAUCAUUUGCUCCUGCAUCCAUAAGAGGACGGUAGUAUCAGGAGCCCUUGCCUGGAGAGAGGGUCCCGAGAAAGAAGGGACCUUGACUACUCUGGGAGAAGUCCUUCCCUGUACCCAGGACAGAUUCGUGACAGCUCAGUUUGACUUCACCACCUCUGUGGCUUCCCACCACUGUCUGUGGCUGCACCCAAAUGCUGGCGCCUGAGGACACCCCGUCUGCCUGCUGAGGGGCCUCGGCAUCUUACCAGAGAGCACCUGUGUUUGUCAGGGUUUCCAGAAAAGCAGAGCUGAGGGGGUAAGUGCACAUAUAUACACAUCCCCAUACACACAGAGGAAAUGCACACAUACACACGCACAUGCACAAACCCAGACACACUCAGGAGACAUACACAGAGGAGGUACACACACAUAUUCACACACAUGAAGAGGCUACAUAUACACAUGGGAUAUAUACACAUACACAGGAUAUACACACACGUAUAUAUACAUGCACAGGGUACACACACAUAUAUACAUGGCAUGUGUAUAUACAUAUGUAUGUAUACACACAUACAAGCUGAGAUUUAUAUUGGGAUCAGCUCAUGUGAUUCUGGAGUCUGGGAAGCCCCACCAUCUUCCAUCUGUGAGCAGAUAACCCAGGAAAGCCAGUUGUGUCAUUCAGUCCCCGUCUACAGGCCUGAGAGCCAGGGGCUUAUGGUGUAAGCCCCACUGCAAGGGCAGGAAGUGAGAUGAGGUCCCAGCUCAUGCAGUGAGGCAGGAAGAAAGGGGACCAAUUCUUCCUUCCUCUGCCUUUUGUUCUAUCAGGCCCAUAUGGUGGGGAUGAGUGCACCACCUCUCUUCAGUCCAUGGGUUUGAAUGUUGACUCAUCUACCAGAAUCCUCACAGGUGUACUUGGAAAUAGUGUUUAACCAAAACUGACCACUUAGGAGCCAGUCAGGAUGAGGUACAGAAUGAACUAUCACACCUGCCCCACUGUCACCACACCUCUGAUCUUGUCACAUCACCCAGUUGAAGUAGAAGUGACCAAGUUGCCUAUGGUGGCUUAUGGGAAGAGAAUGGUAGGGCGAACUGACUGGGUCCUGGGCUCAGCUUGCCCCUAGACACUGGCAGAGGCAAGGAUGUCACACUGUUUAAAGCAGCAAUCCUACUCCUAGAGUCCAGCCCAGUUAGUAUCCUGGAGUGUACCAUGGAUAUGUCCCCUGGUCCCUAGUGGAAAGGGGCCUGAAAGGAUGUUCUGGGAGUAACAGAGGAGAGACUUGGCAAUGGUACCUACUGGGACAAGACACACCAUUAGCCUUGGUUUAAAUAAUUUAGUUAUGUAGUUUUAACAAUCGUGCAAGCCUACCUCUGUCAGAGGUUACUAUCAUCAAAACCCUUGAUAUCUCUGCAUGGUUGUGCCAUCAGAAUUCCAGUUCAUUUCCCCUCUUUUUCCUUAAAGCUCUAAAAUUGGUGCUGAGAAAGCCACUUGGAACAGAUGGUAUUGAAGAUUCCUUUGAAAUGGCCCACUGAGGCCCCAUGAAAACAUGUUCUCCUCACAUGCAGUGCCUCUGUCCCGUGGCACUGUCAGGCGGUGAGGACAAGUGGGUGGGCUGCAUUUCUGGCUGCUAGGAGUAUGACAGCCUCCCAGAAUGUGAUGGCCUGGGGCUGCAAUGGUCUGGCGCUUCAACAUCUUCUACGUGACAUCCAAUGGCUUUCUUUGGAUAUUAGCUGUCACCUUCGGAUAUUAAGCUAUCACACUUUAACCUGUUGAUGACAACAAUCUCUGGGCCGAGAAAUCUCUGGGAAAGUUUUAUAAUCUCAUCUCCCCAGCUUGGGGGUGUCUGUGAAUUUGCCCUGCCCAAGAGAAAGUGGAGGUGUGUAGAAUUUCUCCUUUCCUAUUCCCUUCUGAUACGGCAGGGUUAAUGGAAAGUGUAUCACAAAGGACAUUACACUCCGAGUUAUGUUAAACUGUUAACAAAAGAAAGCUUAUGUGAAUGGCUGGAACAUGAAUGGGUUAAUUUUUCUCACAUAACCAGAUGUUUGGAGGUAGGCGUUUGCUACCUCCUACAGGUUGCUUUAACUGUGAUGGUCAAUCUAUAGACUCUAUCUUUAUGCCCCCCCAAAUUCAUAUACUGAAAUCAACUUCCAGUGUGAUAUUGUUAGAAGGUAGAGCCUUUGAGAGGUGGUUAGGUCAUGGUGUGGAGCCCUUACGAGUGAGAUUAAUACCCUUAUAAAAAGACCAUAGAGUUUCCACUCCCCUUUUGCCACAUAGAGACACAACUAGAAGACAGCUGCCUAUGAACCAGGAAGUAGGCUCUCACCAGACACAAAAUCUACUGACACCUUGUAAUGGUUUAGAUGUAAAAUAUCCUCCAAAAGUCUCAUGUGUUUAGAGAUGGGGGCUUUAGGAAGAUGAUUGGAUCAUGAGGGUGUUGUACUCAUCAGUGGAUUGAUCCAUGGUGAGUUCACAGAUGAAUGUGCUGUUUGGAAAUGGGGCUCAGUUGCAAGGGUGUCACUUAGGGGCAGGACCUGAAAGGGUAUAUUCUUGUUCCUGGCCUCUCCUUUCUCUCUCUGCUUCCUAGCUGCCAGGGGGUGAGCUAUUGGAGGCUGAUCAAUCCUCUGAUCUGCCUAGAAAGAGGGACAAUGAAGUCGAAAGAAAGAAAGAAAGAAAGAGAAAGAAAAGAAAGAAAGACAACAGAGACUUGUUUAAUUUCGUAGUAUAUGGGACGGCUGGAAUUUAGCUCAGUGGCACUGUGCCUACCUCCAAAGUGCAAAGUCCUGAAUUUGAUCCCUGGUACUGAAACAAAAAAUAAACAAACAAGCAAAAAACAUAGCACAUGGGGGACUGGGAGGUCAGUGCCUCAGAGUAGGCAAAGACAAAAGACUCCUGAGCCAGCCAGUAUUUAUUGGGUGUGCACAAUAAUAGGAGGGAGUAUCUAGUGACUUAAGGGGCGGUGGUAAUCUUAUGUUGGUGAGGAUCUUAUGUUGAUAAGGGCAGUAAGGACAGCAUUCCUACAAUAGUAGGUGAGAUGAAAUAGGCUAAUAAAGAAUGUGUCCUUGGGCCGGGGAUUUAGCUCAGUGGUUCUGCCGCCUGCCUAGCAAGCGCAAGCAUCUGAGUUCGAUCCCUGGUACCAAAAAAAACAACAACAAAAAAACCCAAAAAAGAAUAUGUCCUUCUCCCAGGUGAAACCUUUCUUUUUUAAUUAUUACUGCUCAGUUCUCAAAGAACCAGGAUGUCUUCAGCUGAUGUACUUUUGGCCUUGACUGUCACAGUAUCACAGGACCAUUGAGGCCUCAACUUGUGACUGGAGGAUGGCUCCUGACAGUGAGCAGCUUUCUUCCACCAUGCCAUCUGCCAUUGCAUUUCUGCCUUGGAGCCCGCUGACUGUGCAUGGACUGAACCUUCUAAAACCAUGAGCCAAAAUAAACCUAUCCUCCUUCUAAGUUGCAGGUGUUGAGUGUUUUGUCCAAGUGAUGGGAAAGUGACUAAUAUGCACCUUGAUUUUAGACUUUCCAGUCUCCAAUAUCAUGAGAAAUAAAUUUCUGUUGUUUAUAAGCCAGCACUCUACAGCAUUCUGUUUAGCAGGCCACACACACUAAUAUGGUAUUUUCC
rnacentral:lncRNA from 1 species